GUAGCGUAUAUUAAAGUUGUUGCAGUUAAAAAGCUCGUAGUUGGAUUUCUGACAAAGCGGGGCGGCCCGUGCUCUUAAUGGGUGCUGUGUGCCGUGUCAUGUUUGUCAUCCUUCCAGAGAGCUACGUCUACCAUUCAUUUGGCCGGACGUACGUGAUCUGAAUCGAUUACUUUGAAAAAAUUAGAGUGUUUAAAGCAGGCUUAUGCUGUGAAUACAUUAGCAUGGAAUAAUAAUUUAGGACUUCGGUCCUAUUUUGUUGGUUUCUAGGACAGAAGUAAUGAUUGAUAGGGACAGUUGGGGGUGCUAGUAUUCCGCGGCCAGAGGUGAAAUUCUUGGAUUCGCGGAAGACUAACUACUG
rnacentral:rRNA from 1 species